GCCGAGAUGAUGAAAUUGGUAGACGUGCCGGAUUCAAAAUCCGGUGUCCCUUGGGACGUGUGGGUUCGACUCCCACUCUCGGCACAA
rnacentral:tRNA from 1 species